GGAGGAGAGCGCUCACCCCCCUCCUGCCUUCCCUCGCUGCUGUUCCUUACCAAGCUCAGAGACGGGAACAGGAGGACGGGACAGGCGGUCACAAACACCAGCCCCCUGAGCCUCUGGUCCCUGCCACAGGCCGCUCCGAGGCCCCGCUCCCCUCCAGGGCCCAGUGGUGGUGGCCCAGGCUGGAACCUGGGGAGGAGGUGCUGGUGGAGGCGGGACCUGCUCCUCAGCCUCAGAACCGGCUGUGGCUGGCUCUGCAGCUUCCAGCCCUGGGCUCCAGGAGGCUUCCCGCGUUUCUCUGGGCCACCACUGUGUCCUCGUCUGGAAAAUGGCAGUAAAGGCCCACCUCCCAGGGCUCUAGGAGGACUGAGCGCGACAGCAGUGUGAGAGCAGAUGUCUUUCACCCGAGGAAACAGAGGGUGGUCGGCGAGUGCCACUUUCCCGGAAACCCAAGAGGAAAACUUGUCUUGAAAAGUGUCUGGUGGAAAUGACAAGGACUUCCACCCCCGUCAGGGCCUCCUGAGGGGCGCCCUGGACCUCCCCGGGCCUCUGCCUCAUGUGCCGCUGGCAGGCAGACAGGUGGCUGCCGACAGGACAAGGGAGGGUGUGAGGCCACCACAGGCAGCCCUCAUCCUCAGGCUGCAGGGAACAGUGCCACAUUCCCAGAAGGGGACACGGGAAUGUGGGCCCAGAGGCAGGGCGUGUGGCUGCCAGGAGGACAGGCUGGAAGGUGAGAAUUCCACAAGAAAGUUUAGGGGGGAAAUGAUCAAUGAUCGGGGAGUGAGGGCCUUGACCUAUGAGAGCACUAGGCCCCCAUCGGGGUGACCUGGGUGGUACCUGUGGGCAGGUGGGUGCUGCUGGAGGAGGCGGUGGCUGGAGGCUCGCCUUUGAGGUUUAUAUUUUAUUCCGGUGAUUGGAGAGCGAGCUCUCUCUCUCUCUCUCUCUCUCUCUCUCUCUCUCCUUCCUGACUACCAAACCCUGAGCACUUUCCUCAGACACACCCUUCCGCCAUGACUCUGGGCCAAGGAGAAGUUCUGCCUCACCUGGGGCCCAGAGGAAUGGAGCCAGGUGUUUUGGUGACAGCAAUGAAAAAGCUGAGUAAAACACGGGGUGACUCAGACAAAAGGGGGACCUGGGAUAGGAACCCCACCUGGGAGGGGGCCAGAUUCUCUGUGCCAGGAGAGCUUGUGGGAAGGGCUGGCUUGGAUCCUGGAGCCCUGCUCUCUUUUUUUGGUACUUAACCACUGAGCCACACCCCUAGCCGGGUUUUUUGUUUGUUUGUUUGUUUUUGUAUUUUACUUAGAGACAGGGUCUUGCUGAGUUGCUUAGGGCCCUACGAAGUAGCUGAGGCUGGUUUUGAACUCAUGAUCCUCUUGUCUCAGCCUCCCGAGCCACUGGGAUUACAAGCGUGUGCCCAGCACCAUGCCCAGCAGAGCCAAGCCCGUAAACACCAUGGUGUGCCCUGCUAAACGUGGACAUGGAGACCAGACCCCCAGCAGCCCCUUGAAGCCUUGCCCCUCUAGUGGACUCUCUUUUACCUGCUGGGAGCACAACCCCGUGCCCAAGUGAGCCUGGCCAUCUGCUCUUCUUCUCUAGGCCACUGGGGUCAGCGACUUUCCUGUUGAGCCCGAUGUGCCUACGGAUUCACUCACUCAUUCAACAAAUACCUAGUGAACAUCCACUAUUACCAUCCGCUCUGCUAGGCCCCGGGGAUGCAUCAGUGAACGCAGGGGAGCUACAUUCUAGGGAGACAAUAAACAAAUAAGCAAAAUAUAUCGUAAAAGCUGUUGAGGAGAAGGAAGGAGGAUAAGGGAAGUUCAGGGGGUUCCAUUUACAGAGAGAGCAGCUCUGAGGAAGGCAGCUUUGAAGUACAGGGGAUGAGAGAGGGACAGCAUUCCAGGUGAGAGGAGAUGGGGACACCAGGUGCAGAGGCCCCAAGUGGGAGUGAGCUUGGCAGUCUGAGCAGCAGCCCGAGGUCAGUUUAGCUGGUGGAGUGAGCAAGGGAGGGCCAUAGAGGGGGACAUCAGAGAGGAGGCAGGGGGACCGAGGGGGACCUCGUUGUGGAGGGCCUCAUUGGCCACCGAAAGUUCUCUUCCUCAACUGGGCCCCAACACUGCAUUUGGUUUCUUUCAAGCCACGUUUUAAUUAUUUCAAAUUUCAAAUCAUUAGAGUGCUUUUGGCUACAACAGAAAAACCGAUUAGUGGUAGCCUAAACCAAAAGAACAUAUAUUAUGUAUUGGACAAGUGUCCAAAUGUAGUGGGUCUCAGAAUAAGUUUAACAGGUCACCAAUAUCAUCAGGGACCUAGGCUCUUCCUGUCUCCUUUUUUUGGGGGGUGGGGGGGUACAACGGAUUGAACUCAGUCAGGGGCACUUGACCACUGAGCCACAUCCCCAGCCUAUUUUGUAUUUUAUUUAGAGCAGGGUCUCACUGAGUUGUUUAGCAUCUUGCUUUUGCUGAGGCUGGCUUUGAACUCACGAUCCUCCUCCUCAGUCUCCCUAGACACUGGGAUUACAAGAGUGCACCACCAUGCCCAGUUUAUCCUGUCUUUCAGUUCCAUCUUCAAUGUGUCUCCUCAUGGUGACAACAUGGUUGCUGCAGCUCCAACCAAGCUUUAUACCCCUUCCCAACUUCUUCACAAGUAGAAAUGAAGGGAUCGGGGAGAAAAAAAAAAUGUAUGUGCAGAGUAAGGAAAUCGCAAGAAUUUCUCAUAACUAUCUCACAGAAGAAAAGACUUUCCCAUAAGACCUAGCAGACUAUCUUUUCUAUAUCAUUGGCCAGAAGGGGGACACAUGUUGACUCCUAAGCCAGGCAGAGGGAAUGGAUUAGUAUAAUUGACUUGUACCAGUGAUUCAUCUUGGGGCUGUACCUUCAGGACAGAGCUCCAUAAACUUUGUCCCCACCCACCUACCUUCCCACCCGACUCUGAUGGGUCCAGGUGCAGCUGGAGCCCUGGGGCACCCUCCAACACAGCUCUUGUUUGGAUCGCCUUCUGCAGCAUCACUGACCACCCUUGUUUGGCGCAAAGCAGCAGCCAUGUUGUCUGCUCACAGAGAGAGUCUAGCAGGUUCCAGCAAGGAUGGCUUUUCUCUGCCCCACGAUGCCAGGGUCCAAAAGACUUGACGCUCUGGAAGUGACUCAAACAGUCCGGCCCUGAAUCUGCUGGAGGGUCCUCCUUCCCACUCAGGUGUCUGGGCAGGGAUGUCUCAGAGGCCUGCUCACUGUGACUGGCAGCCAAGUGCCCCCUCCUGGCCUGUCCACUGACUUGCGUGUCUCCCAGCCUGGCAUCGGCUCUCCAGGAAGUGCCCUGAGACCAAGCACCUGGCGGAGGGUCCCCAGGGAUCCAGGCGAAAGCCAGAUGGUUCUUUCCAGCCAAGCAGAAAGGCCUCACUUCUGUCACAUUCCAUCGAUGACAAGUGGGUCAAAACCCCUGUCCAAAGAGGCGGGGAGGGGACUCAGGCCCUCCUCUCCGCAGGGAAGAGGCGACAUCACAUUGGAAGCAAAGGUGGGGUGGGAGAUACUCUUGCAGCCAUUCUCAAAAAUAAAAUAAAAAAUGCAACUGGCUCUCCUCAGCCGCCCACGUCUCAGUCUCUCUCACCAUCUCCCCCUCAACAGGAAGCCAAGUGAACCUCCCUGCUCUCUCCGACCCUCCCCACCUGGAGCCCCUCGCAGACUCCUAUGUGCCCCUGAGCCACGGUCUUCUCGCUUCCAUUCCUCUCAGAGCCAGGCUUCUGGAACAAGUGGUCCGUGCUUGCAACCCGAACUUCUUUUCCAACCUCCC
rnacentral:lncRNA from 1 species